GUGGGGAAUUUUGGACAAUGGGCGCAAGCCUGAUCCAGCAAUGCCGCGUGCAGGAAGAAGGCCUUCGGGUUGUAAACUGCUUUUGUACGGAACGAAACGGCUCUGGUUAAUACCCGGGGCUAAUGACGGUACCGUAAGAAUAAGCACCGGCUAACUACGUGCCAGCAGCCGCGGUAAUACGUAGGGUGCAAGCGUUAAUCGGAAUUACUGGGCGUAAAGCGUGCGCAGGCGGUUGUGUAAGACAGGCGUGAAAUCCCCGGGCUCAACCUGGGAAUUGCGCUUGUGACUGCACAGCUGGAGUGCGGCAGAGGGGGAUGGAAUUCCGCGUGUAGCAGUGAAAUGCGUAGAUAUGCGGGGGAACACCGAUGGCGAAGGCAAUCCCCUGGGCCUGCACUGACGCUCAUGCACGAAAGCGUGGGGAGCAAACAGGAUUAGAAACCCCAGUAGUCC
rnacentral:rRNA from 1 species